rnacentral:misc_RNA from 1 species
GCAAGAAGAAUAUAAUUUUCCCAAAUAAUACAUUAUGGGCAUUGUAGGUGUCUCUACAACUUCCCAUGAUAAUUGGCCAAUCAACAAAAUUAACAGGCAUGUGACACUCAGUAAGAUCAAUUCUAAUAAGUUUGAAAUGAAUAUAGAUUCCAAGAGAAUGACAUAUGAUAUAGUGGGUGUGUGAUUAUAUAAUUCUAACAUUAAGAAUAUACCUCGAGCAACACACCCUGA